AUUGAACGCUGGCGGCAGGCCUAACACAUGCAAGUCGAGCGAGCGGCGGACGGGUGAGUAAUGUAUGGGGACUGCCCGAUAGAGGGGGAUAACUACUGGAAACGGUGGCUAAUAUCACAUACUGUAGGAUAACCCACAUGGGAUUAGCUAGUAGGUAAGGUAUUGGCUUACCUAGGCGACGAUCCCUAGCUGGUCUGAGAGGAUGAUCAGCCACACUGGUACUGAGACGCGGCCCAGAAUCCUUCGGUGGCAGAAGUGGGGUAUAUUGCACAAUGGGCGCAAUCCUGAUGCAGCCGUGCCGCGUGUAUGAAGAAGGCCCUAGGGUUGUAGAGUACGUUCAGUCGGGAGGCGUUGCCGACAGAAGAAGCACCGGCUAACUCCGUGCCAGCCGCCGCGGUAAUAC
rnacentral:rRNA from 1 species